CUGCGAAUACCGGAGAAUGUUAUCACGGGAGACACACGGCGGGUGCUAACGUCCGUCGUGAAGAGGGAAACAACCCAGACCGCCAGCUAAGGUCCCAAAGUCAUGGUUAAGUGGGAAACGAUGUGGGAAGGCCCAGACAGCCAGGAUGUUGGCUUAGAAGCAGCCAUCAUUUAAAGAAAGCGUAAUAGCUCACUGGUCGAGUCGGCCUGCGCGGAAGAUGUAACGGGGCUAAACCAUGCACCGAAGCUGCGGCAGCGACACUAUGUGUUGUUGGGUAGGGGAGCGUUCUGUAAGCCUGUGAAGGUGUACUGUGAGGUAUGCUGGAGGUAUCAGAAGUGCGAAUGCUGACAUAAGUAACGAUAAAGCGGGUGAAAAGCCCGCUCGCCGGAAGACCAAGGGUUCCUGUCCAACGUUAAUCGGGGCAGGGUGAGUCGACCCCUAAGGCGAGGCCGAAAGGCGUAGUCGAUGGGAAACAGGUUAAUAUUCCUGUACUUGGUGUUACUGCGAAGGGGGGACGGAGAAGGCUAUGUUGGCCGGGCGACGGUUGUCCCGGUUUAAGCGUGUAGGCUGGUUUUCCAGGCAAAUCCGGAAAACUAAGGCUGAGGCGUGAUGACGAGGCACUACGGUGCUGAAGCAACAAAUGCCCUGCUUCCAGGAAAAGCCUCUAAGCAUCAGGUAACAUCAAAUCGUACCCCAAACCGACACAGGUGGUCAGGUAGAGAAUACCAAGGCGCUUGAGAGAACUCGGGUGAAGGAACUAGGCAAAAUGGUGCCGUAACUUCGGGAGAAGGCACGCUGAUAUGUAGGUGAAGUCCCUCGCGGAUGGAGCUGAAAUCAGUCGAAGAUACCAGCUGGCUGCAACUGUUUAUUAAAAACACAGCACUGUGCAAACACGAAAGUGGACGUAUACGGUGUGACGCCUGCCCGGUGCCGGAAGGUUAAUUGAUGGGGUCAGCGCAAGCGAAGCUCUUGAUCGAAGCCCCGGUAAACGGCGGCCGUAACUAUAACGGUCCUAAGGUAGCGAAAUUCCUUGUCGGGUAAGUUCCGACCUGCACGAAUGGCGUAAUGAUGGCCAGGCUGUCUCCACCCGAGACUCAGUGAAAUUGAACUCGCUGUGAAGAUGCAGUGUACCCGCGGCAAGACGGAAAGACCCCGUGAACCUUUACUAUAGCUUGACACUGAACAUUGAGCCUUGAUGUGUAGGAUAGGUGGGAGGCUUUGAAGUGUGGACGCCAGUCUGCAUGGAGCCGACCUUGAAAUACCACCCUUUAAUGUUU
rnacentral:rRNA from 1 species